GCCGGGCGUGGUGGUGUGUGCCUGUAAUCCCAGCUACUUGGGAGGCUGAGGCUGGAGAAUCGCUUGAACCUGGGAGGUGGGGUUUGCAGUGAGCUGAGAUUGUGCCACUGCACUCCAGCCUAGGCAAAAGAGCGAGACUCCGUCUCAA
rnacentral:SRP_RNA from 1 species